rnacentral:rRNA from 1 species
UACGGGGGGGGCAAGCGUUGUUCGGAAUUACUGGGCGUAAAGGGCUCGUAGGCGGCCAACUAAGUCGGACGUGAAAUCCCUCGGCUUAACCGGGGAACUGCGUCCGAUACUGGAUGGCUUGAGUUCGGGAGAGGGAUGCGGAAUUCCAGGUGUAGCGGUGAAAUGCGUAGAUAUCUGGAGGAACACCGGUGGCGAAGGCGGCAUCCUGGACCGACACUGACGCUGAGUGAGCGAAAGCCAGGGGAGCAAACGGG